rnacentral:rRNA from 1 species
AUGCACGCUGGCGGCGUGCCUAAUACAUGCAAGUCGAGCGAACAGACGAGGAGCUUGCUCCUCUGACGUUAGCGGCGGACGGGUGAGUAACACGUGGAUAACCUACCUAUAAGACUGGGAUAACUUCGGGAAACCGGAGCUAAUACCGGAUAAUAUAUUGAACCGCAUGGUUCAAUAGUGAAAGACGGUUUUGCUGUCACUUAUAGAUGGAUCCGCGCCGCAUUAGCUAGUUGGUAAGGUAACGGCUUACCAAGGCAACGAUGCGUAGCCGACCUGAGAGGGUGAUCGGCCACACUGGAACUGAGACACGGUCCAGACUCCUACGGGAGGCAGCAGUAGGGAAUCUUCCGCAAUGGGCGAAAGCUUGACGGAGCAACGCCGCGUGAGUGAUGAAGGUCUUCGGAUCGUAAAACUCUGUUAUUAGGGAAGAACAAAUGUGUAAGUAACGAUGCACGUCUUGACGGUACCUAAUCAGAAAACCACGGCUAACUACGU